rnacentral:rRNA from 1 species
UACGUAGGGACCAAGCGUUGCCCGGAUUUAUUGGGCGUAAAGGGCGCGCAGGCGGCUACGCACGUCCGUUGUGAAAUCGCUCGGCUCAACUGGGCGGGGUCAGCGGAUACGGCGUAGCUGGAGCAAGCUAGGGGGCAAUGGAAUUCCCGGUGUAGUGGUGGAAUGCGUAGAUAUCAGGAGGAACACCGAUGGCGAAGGCAGUGGUCUGGGCCGAUACUGACGCUGAGGAGCGAAAGCGUGGGGAGCGAACAGG